AAAAUCCUACAGUCAUUCUUCCACACAUAAAGGGAAAACGGACUCACUAGGAGGACCUAGACUCUUUCAGCUUGAACUGUUAACCAAUGGUGGAAAUGCAAGAAUGCUGAAGUUGUGCCUUCAGAGCCAAUAGAGUGGAUUUGUGUGUCCCACAUGACUGUGUUUCCUCUGUCUUUCACAUGGGCAGUAUUUAGUUCAAUUCAGAACUGCAGAUAGUAUAGCGUGCAGAGCAGCAAUGGGAUGUCUGAGCACAAGUGGCUGACUUCCAGGCGACUUCAGGAAGCACAUUUGUACAUUUCUCCUGAAUUUAACUGGGAUUCUGCACCCUUGACACCCUCCGACCCUCCUUGUCUCUGCAGAAGGAGACAGCGACCUGCACAGCACAACAAAACUACAAAUCACCACAGAGCUGCAGACCAGCAAUGAAGGGAACUGGGCAAUUUGACCAACAUCAUCUGUGUCGGUUCCCCAGAAGUCGAUGAAACAUGUUAUCGGGUCUCCAAGUUUGCAUUUUACAGACCACAAACCUCAGAAGAUCAUUGUGUGGAAGAAACACACUGGGCCAACUCAUCCUGUCCAUCUGACACAAAGCACAGCCCAUUUUGGUGUUCUUUCCAUUCUGAAGGAGUCUCAUAUCAGGUCAGGCCAUGAAGAGGAAGAAGAGGACUGAAGACUGAGGAUGAGAUGCUCUACUUCACACAGUUGCCCUCUGGAAGGACUUGCAAAGGCAGUCACUUAAAUUAUGUACAGGUCAUCAGACAAGAUAUCUAAUCUAUUCCUAAGACAGGCAGCUCUAGCAGUCCAAAUCCCUAUGGUCUUUGCAGCCACACGAUGAACUACUUCCUCAUGUACCUCUGUCAAUUCACGUUAGGUUCCGAUUUUUUUAAAGCGAUAUUUCAUGUACACCACGACCCUAUUGCUCAUAGCAAGGAAAGUGCUUUGGUUUAUUUAUGACCUACUAACCUUAAAUUAAAAAAAAAAAAAACUACAUCCAAUAUGAAUGUUCACAUAAGCUUCCAGAUCUGAAAAAAAAUUUUAAAUAAACCUGGCAUUUGUAACAGCCAGCUAAGCCUGGUAAGGGAUUUUAAAAAAAUGAAAACCAGAUGAGAGAUGAUGACAGCAUAUUUACCCUGCGUAACCUGCACACACGAGGAAUUAGGGCUGGAACCCAGGAAUACUUUUUGUACCUAGCUUCAGCCCAUUUCACAAGUUUCAGCCCAUUUCAGAGGCUAGAUAACUAAGGAAAUCCUGAGGUUUUUCCAGUAUAUGGGGUGGGAGGCAUUAAUAAUAACCUGUGAAAGUAAUUCCUUCUGAGAUGCAAUCCACCCAGCCACAAGCUCUGCUCUAUGCAGCUUCUCUUCUUCCCCUACCCUCUAUCCUGAUUGCCAGAUAGCAGCCAGGCAGGACCCCAUAUUGAAAUAUGAAGUGACAGAUGGAAGCAGGGAAUAAGAGCAUAAGAAUAAGUACUGAAAGAAAUGACGUACAAAAAGCAAGCUCAUAAUAGGGUGGAUCUGAAACAUAAGCAACCCUAAACCAUAAAGUCAGUUCAUUUGGCUAGAACAAAGUUGAACAGAUGCAGAUGCACAAAAGACUGAGUUGGAGAGCCUUAUUCUCUCAUCACUCAUGCUGGUGUACAGAAGUCUUCUCAUAAUAUCCAUGGAAUUAAACCUUUGAAAAACCACUACAAAGAAAUGGAAAAAUAAAAAUAAACUUCAAAGCCAAACUAUUGGCAGCAAAUAUCCCAUACAGUUGUAUCAGGAAAGAAAGAUGUACUGCCACAUUUGAUUAGAAUUCAGAUAUAUUCCUAACCACAGUGGCCUUCCUAAACAAAAUACAUCUAAACUACAUAAAGAAGAAAAUUAAUGGAUUCCAUUCUUGUCUAGUUCUCCAAUGGACUAUAUUAAUGACUUUGUCUUUCAGUAAUAUUAGAUAAAAAUAAUGUUGAGUUAAAUGAUGUAAUAAAUACCUCUACAUGCAGAGCAAUUAUUUGAAAGAAACAGUCAGAACAAAGUCCUUGUCAUGGUGUUUGUUUACAAAAUAGACACAGGUACCAUACCUAUGAGCUCCAGUCUUUUGGUGCGGGUUCCUUUUACAAAGUAGAAACAAACCCCCCAACAUUCAUAAAGACUUACAAAUAAUCAGAGAUUGAUGAGAGAGUAUAAAACAUCUUUUACCAAAAGAUAAGUAAACAAAUAGCAAUUCACAGAAGUCAAUGAAUCGGUCACACAAUUUCAGCACAGCAAGAGCAGACCUGCAAAAAAGAAUUCUGACCAGCUGAGCAUCGAGAACGCCUUCUGCAGAAGAAUUCUGCUCCCAAAUGCAAAUAAGAAAGAAGUUUGGGAAACUGCCAGCUCCUUGCACAAAGACUGAAUUACGAUGGGCAGAGAAGGGUGUUGACAUUUGAGGAUGCGGUCAAGUCAAUGGAGUUCUGUUGUAGUGGUUGCUUCAGUGAACAUUCAACGCUGUCGGCCUUAACACCGAAGAUAGCAACCUAACCAUCAUAUGAUGUUUCUCCCCCACCCUGCCAAGCUUUACAAAAAAGGUCACAAUCAACAUUCAUUGCUGUCGGUGGGUUUAACUUUGUGGACAAGCUCACUGAACAAUGAAUGCAACUGUGGCCCCACAUUUUACAGUUGCCGUUGAGAGGAACAGCAGCUCUGAAAGCAGUAGUGAGAAACAAACUUCUUAUAAGCUACAUUUUUCUGGUCAGAAAAACAGUUGGGAGUAUUCACUUUUUGCUUGCUUGUUUUUAAGUGUGUUUAACUUAGCUGACUAGAAAAAAAAAACACUGCCUUUUUCUGGAAUAUUGUCCUUACAGGGUUGAGUAUUACUGAAACCAUAAAAACUCUUAUUUAGUAUGUGUGCAGAAAUAAAUAACUGUACAGGAAACUCUGUAUAUCCACUCCUAAGGACUCUGACAUAGAAGGAAAGAAUAUUUACAUGCCAUUUUAACUAGGCAUUGUGGAAUACUUAAAAAGUUUUUUCUAUACUUGUCAUGACAAAUACAAAUGGGAGCAAAUGAGAUUUCAAAGUUAUGGAUCAAAUGUUUUAUCAAAUAAAUUAAUUAAUUUUACAUGAAAUUGUUUCUGAGCACAUAAAUAUUAUUAGACAACCCUUACUAUUGCAUCUGACUUUUUUAGGCAUCUGAACAAUGACAGAGAAAUGUAUAUCCAGAAAUAAAAAUUGAAAAGUAGUUAAAUUGUAAAAUUACUGUAAACUGAGUACCUAUGUCACACUCUCAGUAUUGCAGAUACUAAUAAGAAAAUAAAAGUGUAAA